GCAGCUUAGAAGUCAGCUGAGUCUCAUGGUUAUUGCCCGGAUGCUGGGUCAGCAGGAGUCACUUCCUCUCUGGGGAGAGAAGACCCAGCUAGCCUUGCUCAGCCAGCUCCUCAGCCUCAUGAGGCCAUCAUCCCUCAGGCAGUGUCUGGGCUCUGAAACAUUGCCAUCCAGUCCAGGGCAACAGUCAAAGGCCAGUGCCGAGCUAGACCACAAGGUCUGCUAUCUGUGCCACAGCCUCCUGACACUGGCUGGGGUCGUGGUCAGUAGCCAGGACAUUACUCCCGAUCAGUGGGGUGAGCUGCAGCUGUUGUGCAUGCAGUUGGACCGCCACAUCAGCACCCAUAUCCGGGAGAGCCCCCAGGCCAUGCACCGGACCAAACUCAAGGACCUGGCUACCCAGACUUACAUCCGCUGGCAGGACUUGCUGGCCCACUGUCAGCCCCAGGGCCAGUACUUCAGCCCUUGGAAAGACAUUUAAAGAGACAAGAGACAAGUGGCCC
rnacentral:lncRNA from 14 species